GGCAGUGUGGCAUAGUGGUUUGGGUGCUGGAUUACGACUCUGGAGAUUAGAGUUCGAUUCUCGGCUCGGCCC